rnacentral:sRNA from 1 species
UAAUGUGAAUAGCAGAAUUCAGUGAAUSAUCUGAAUSUUUGAACGCACCUUGGCGACUCCUUGGUAUGUCCGAGGGAGCAUGGCCUGUUUGAGUGUGCAUUAUAUUCUCAACCUUCUUCCAGCCUKUUAUUAGUGUGGUCAGGCUUGGAUGUGGGGGUUGCAGGCUCUCRUUCUAGCUCUGCUCUCCUUUAGAUAUGCAUUUAGUCGGGAACCUUCUUGGUGGACCGGUSUAUUAGGGUGGUGAAAUAAAUUACUUCUCACACCCGGUGGGAUGGUAAAAGCCAGGAUUUUUGUAAAAAGUUCACGCUCCUAACUGUCCAUUUGACUUGGACAAUGAAGACAAUUUGACCUCAAAUCAGGUAGGACUACCCGCUGAACUUAAGCAUAUCAAUAA